rnacentral:rRNA from 1 species
GACGUAGGUGGCGAACGUUUAUCCGGAAUUAUUGGGCGUAAAGGGUGCGUAGGUGGCCUGACAAGUUAUCAGUGGCAAAUCGAGGCUCAACCUCGUGGAAACUGGUAAUACUGUUCGGCUUGAGUACAGGAGAGGUUAACGGAACUCUAUGUGGAGCGGUAAAAUGCACAGAUAUAUGGAAGAACAUCAAUAAAAGGCGAAGGCAGUUAACUAUUCUGUUACUGACGCUGAGGCACGAAAGCGUGGGGAGCAAAACGG